GUCUGACCAUAGACAUAAAUAAAUAUAGACUGGCCGAAGGAAGUAACUUCAUGUAACUUGAAAACAUGUAUAUCUAUUGUAUUCGGAUUUCUUAGAGAUUUAAAGAAAAACACUAGUGAAAAUAAUGUAAUAAUUAUAUAGGUUAUGGCUGAAAUAGGUAUGAAUACUUAACUUUUAUACUGCUCAUAAAUGCUGUAUAAUAAAGUACACAAAAUUGCAAGUCACAAAUUUUCGUUACAAAAAACUCUUUAAUCGGCCAGUCUAUAUUUAUUUAUGUCUAUGCGUCUGACACGUUUAUAAUUUGUAUGUGCACCAACAAAAGCCCAUUACGUACACAUUAAUGGAACAAAAAAUGGCCACACGGUGAAAGCUUAGGUUUGAAGCAUAAAUUGCCGCAUUCGACCGAGACCAAUCGUCAUAGGAGACCUGAACACUGAUCUGCAACGUCACGAGACCAAUAGCUCUUUGCCACGUCACAGUGAGUUCACUGCAAAUGUUCCACUACAGAGAAAGUAGAAAAUGUAAUAUCUAGUUGUGGAUUACAGAAUUUUGCACGGAUAUUUGACUUAAAAUCAUCUAUAUUUAUUUACUGAGAGAACCUGUGGUCCAAGGAGUUGCACAAAUAUCUGUACAUAACUGAUCACUGUUGUGUUAUAUGCUACUAUUCCAAUGUGUAUCAAACAUCCUUUGGGGAAAAUCAGAGGUAGCUAUAUAAUUUAUAACACACUAUUGUUAAGAUUAGAGUACAAAUGCAGAUCUAGCUCUAGUUAAUUAGACUAAAUACAUGAGAAUGUUUUUCUUAUGUAUAAAAAAAAAGAUUAUUAUCAAAAGACUUUCAAAAAUUCUGAAACUAAAAUGUUUAAACAAAAAUUUAGCAAGUGUGUAGAUCUAAAAUUUAUUGAACAUAAUUUAGUUGCGUCAGAGUGAAUCUCAAGGUUAUAAUUGUGAACUUUUGAUUGUAUAUCAUAACAGCCUUUAAAUAGAACAUCAUAGGAUCUGUAUAGUUAGAAAAUAAAGACUUAUAUUUUACUUUUUAACAUUUAUAUAUUUCUACAAUGUAUAAUUGUUAUUUGAGUAAACUCUGUUACCUUAAUU